CCUACGGGCGGCUGCAGUGGGGAAUAUUGGACAAUGGGCGAAAACCUGAUCCAGCCAUGCCGCGUGUGUGAAGAAGGCCUUCGGGUUGUAAAGCACUUUCAGUGGGGAAGAAAGCCUUGGGGCUAAUACCCUCGAGGAAGGACAUCACCCACAGAAGAAGCACCGGCUAACUCCGUGCCAGCAGCCGCGGUAAUACGGAGGGUGCGAGCGUUAAUCGGAAUUACUGGGCGUAAAGCGCGCGUAGGCGGUCUGAUAAGCCGGUUGUGAAAGCCCCGGGCUCAACCUGGGAACGGCAUCCGGAACUGUCAGGCUAGAGUGCAGGAGAGGAAGGUAGAAUUCCCGGUGUAGCGGUGAAAUGCGUAGAGAUCGGGAGGAAUACCAGUGGCGAAGGCGGCCUUCUGGACUGACACUGACGCUGAGGUGCGAAAGCGUGGGUAGCAAACAGGAUUAGAUACCCUGGUAGUC
rnacentral:rRNA from 1 species